GACGAACGCUGGCGGCGUGCUUAACACAUGCAAGUCGAACGGAAAGGCCCUGCUUGCAGGGUACUCGAGUGGCGAACGGGUGAGUAACACGUGGGUGAUCUGCCCUGCACUUCGGGAUAAGCCUGGGAAACUGGGUCUAAUACCGGAUAGGAGCCAUUUUUAGUGUGAUGGUUGGAAAGUUUUUUCGGUGUAGGAUGAGCUCGCGGCCUAUCAGCUUGUUGGUGGGGUAAUGGCCUACCAAGGCGGCGACGGGUAGCCGGCCGGAGAGGGUGGACGGCCACAUUGGGACUGAGAUACGGCCCAGACUCCUACGGGAGGCAGCAGUGGGGAAUAUUGCACAAUGGGCGCAAGCCUGAUGCAGCGACGCCGCGUGGGGGAUGACGGCCUUCGGGUUGUAAACUCCUUUCGCUAGGGACGAAGCUUUUGUGACGGUACCUAGAUAAGAAGCACCGGCUAACUACGUG
rnacentral:rRNA from 1 species